GGCCGGCUCCGCUACGUGGCGGCCUCGGGCAGGCUCGGCACUAGCCACCAGCCAGCCCCGGGGCGGCGGGACUUCCCUAACAGGCGCCUCCCUCCGGGUUUGCUCCAGCUCCGACUAGUGUUUAUUUAAAGCUGGAUUUAAAGGUCGCCAGCUGCAGCGAGCGGUGCAGCGGGCGCUCUUGGAGACUCCGGCCACCCCAAGAGGGUGCCCCCCACCCUUGGCGAUGGCUUCCCCUUCCUUCCCGACACGUCAGCAGCCCAGCCGCAGUCCUGAGUCGCCUGAGGGCAAUGGGCAUCCCUCUGGCUGCAGCCAGGGCUGCUCCGAGGACCGGCCAGGUCACGCCAUUUGGAGCCCUGGGCAGGGUUAUCCCAUUGUCUGGACCAAGGUCCCUGCCCUCCCCCGCCACUGUUCCAGGAGGCAGGCGCCUACCAUUCACCAAGAUCCCCGCAGCGGGAGCCCCCACCCCAUAAGAAGAGGGUUGUCAGAGAUGACAGCUGUCUCCCAGUCUCUUCUUGAGACUAAAUUGUGUCAAUUAUAUGCUUGAGCAGCUAAGCCCCAAAUCGGUCCAUCCAGAGCAAUUAAAAGCUUCCUUUGCCAGGCCUUGGGGAUUUCUCUCUGAUCAAUGAGAAGAACACCGCAGCUGGAAAGCAGCCGAAACCAAGAAUAGGGCGACUGUG